GCCCGGCUCCAGAUCCCAGAUCCCCGCGAGCGCCGGCCCUGCGUGCCCGCUAUUUUGGUUCCAUCUCUUCUGCAUAUUUAUGCUUGCCUGUCACAUUCCCUGGCCUCUGAGUGUCCUUUGGCAGUUUCCAAGCAUUUGGGCAAGAAGGAGCUUGGGGAGCUUCACAACAGGUUUGUUGGGCACUUCCUAGCACCAGGCACUGCGAUAAGAAAUGGAGGUUAAACCAUGAAGAAACAUGGCUCCAGCCCUUAGGGAGCUCCGGGUCCUACAGACCCCACAUAUAGGAACCAUCGGAUCCCUGUGUACAGAUGAAGAACCGAGGCUUGGAAAGCUUAACUAUCUUGCUCACAGUCACACAUUAAGGUCUAAAGUGAGAAAUUAAACCAAGUCUUCCAAUCUCAAAGACUUUAAAGGAAAACCUACAAGCUACAAGAAUAAAGAAGUUCUUCAUGUAUAUUUAUGGGAAGAUUGCUAAGGUGUAGUCUCAAGUUCUAAAAAAGCAAAGUUCA
rnacentral:antisense_RNA from 1 species